AACGAACGCUGGCGGCAGGCUUAAUACAUGCAAGUCGAACGCUGUAGCAAUACAGAGUGGCAGACGGGUGAGUAACGCGUGGGAAUCUACCCAAUACUACGGAAUAGCUCCGGGAAACUGGAAUUAAUACCGUAUGUGCCCUACGGGGGAAAGAUUUAUCGGUAUUGGAUGAGCCCGCGUUGGAUUAGCUAGUGGGUGGGGUAAUGGCCUACCAAGGCGACGAUCCAUAGCUGGUCUGAGAGGAUGAUCAGCCACACUGGGACUGAGACACGGCCCAGACUCCUACGGGAGGCAGCAGUAGGGAAUAUUGGACAAUGGGCGAAAGCCUGAUCCAGCCAUGCCGCGUGAGUGAUGAAGGCCUUAGGGUUGUAAAGCUCUUUCAGUGGGGAAGAUAAUGACGGUACCCACAGAAGAAGCCCCGGCUAACUUCGUGCCAGCCGCCGCCGUAAAAC
rnacentral:rRNA from 1 species